rnacentral:tRNA from 1 species
GGAGAAAUGGCUGAGUGAAAUAAAGCGGCGGAUUGCUAAUCCAUUGUAUGAGUUAAUCAUACCAAGGAUUCGAAUCCCUCUCUUUCCA